rnacentral:ncRNA from 1 species
GUAUUCUUCGCGAACGAAUCCGAACCUGAACGUACUUCGACGUCGCCCUCGCUACUCCCCUAGGAAUGCCGCUGGCUCGUUAUGCAUUAGCGCUCAAGGUUCGGUUUUUUUGAAGCGUACGAAAUGAAGCCACGGACACUCCGUGGCUUUUGU